GUGAGUAACGCGUGGGUAACCUGCCCUGUACACACGGAUAACAUACCGAAAGGUAUGCUAAUACGAGAUAAUAUACUUUUAUCGCAUGGUAGAAGUAUCAAAGCUCCGGCGGUACAGGAUGGACCCGCGUCUGAUUAGCUAGUUGGUAAGGUAACGGCUUACCAAGGCGACGAUCAGUAGCCGACCUUAGAGAGAAAUCGGCCACGUUGGAACUGAGACACGGUCCAAACUCGUGCGGGAGGCAGCAGUGGGGAA
rnacentral:rRNA from 1 species